rnacentral:rRNA from 1 species
GAUGAACGCUGGCGGCGUGCCUAAUACAUGCAAGUCGAGCGAACAGAUGAGGAGCUUGCUCCUCUGACGUUAGCGGCGGACGGGUGAGUAACACGUGGAUAACCUACCUAUAAGACUGGGAUAACUUCGGGAAACCGGAGCUAAUACCGGAUAAUAUAUUGAACCGCAUGGUUCAAUAGUGAAAGACGGUUUUGCUGUCACUUAUAGAUGGAUCCGCGCCGCAUUAGCUAGUUGGUAAGGUAACGGAUUACCAAGGCAACGAUGCGUAGCCGACCUGAGAGGGUGAACGGCCACACUGGAACUGAGACACGGUCCAGACUCCUACGGGAGGCAGCAGUAGGGAAUCUUCCGCAAUGGGCGAAAGCCUGACGGAGCAACGCCGCGUGAGUGAUGAAGGUCUUCGGAUCGUAAAACUCUGUUAUUAGGGAAGAACAAAUGUGUAAGUAACUAUGCACGUCUUGACGGUACCUAAUCAGAAAGCCACGGCUAACUACGUG